GCCCUUAUAGCUCAGUGGUAGAGCGCAUCACUCGUACUCUUGGCGCACAUGAUGAGGUCCGUUGUUCAAUCCAGCGUGGGGGCA